UGACAGUGGUGUACUCGACGUCCGGGUAGAGCUCGCCGGCGGCCGCCCCCAGCGACGGCUCGAUCUUGAAGUUUGUCUCCCCCAGGAUGUACGCCGCGUGCCCGAUCGAGAGCGCGAUGCCCAGCGCGUGAGAAGCCUCUGCAGAAUCAUUUUUCCCCCCUUAACAUUUCACAGCAAGUAAAUACAAUGCAGAUGCUGUCUUCUCAGGAAGAACCAGAACCAGGCGUGUCCUACUGACCUCGGAUCAUCUUGAGGACGGCGUCCUCGGCGACGUACACCCGCAGGAACGUCCGGCCGGUCUUCUUCUCCCACAUCGACAGCAGCUCGUUGUG
rnacentral:lncRNA from 1 species